rnacentral:lncRNA from 1 species
CUGCCGGCCAGAGUUCUCGCCGCGCCGCCGGAGGCGAAGCGUCGGGCCGCGGCACGCCCCCUGGGGCCUGGCAGGGGUCUUCCCUCUGUCGUCCCAUUCCUUGGUGAUUGGAACGGUUUUCUGAAGCUGGAGGGAGUGAAGUGAGCCUUCAGGCCCCUGAGGAUGGGCAGGCCUGAGAGGUCACUGACCACAGGAGGAGGGGCGACCCCAGUCUGCUAUGGGCCUUGCUCUGACCUGGGCGAAGAGUGGAUGUCCUGGGUGGGUGGGUUCGCUUUGGUCAGCUCUGGUCCGGAAAGAGACUCACCAGUUUGAGUCUGAGCCCUAUUAGGCCACAGACUCUAUCCCCUCCCCUCCCCCAAGCUUUCAGAGUAAAUUAACCAAUUACCUCUAAUUAAAGCACCAGGCUUUCUGUUCCCUCCUGGGCCUCAGUCCCCACCCUGGGAGUCCUCUUACCCUGGCUGCUCAGGAAGGGAGCCUCGCCAAUAAGGUGGAAGCCAAUGAAUCAUCUCCUCAUCCCAGCUCCAAGGACAACUCCUUCCUUAAGUUGCUCAGACCAGGGGACUGACAGCUUCCAUCUCUUGGAGUCCUGGACCACCAGAAAAGAAGUUCAGCCGCCUCACUUGCAGGAUGCCACGGAGAGGAUCCCAGCAUUGUCCAGCCUUCUAAAAGCUCUCACCUGGCACAAGAGGUGAAUGGAACUGUUCUGGAUAUCCGAGACCAGACCAGCUAUCAACCAAGGAGCCCCACAGGACACUCCAUGUGGAGCAGAACUGCCCUGUUGAGCCCAGUCUCAAUCCCUGACCCUCAAAAUUGUGAGAUAUAAUAAAAUGGGAUUGUUUUAGACAGUAAAGUUAGGCUAUAGUUUUAAGUUUUAACGUUAGAUUUCAAAAUUGUUGUGUUAGGCUUGGAGACAAAUGUUACAUAGCAAUAAAUAACCAGAACAUUUAUCUAC